UCGUAACAAGGUCUCCGUUGGUGAACCUGCGGAGGGAUCAUUACCGAGUUUACAACUCCCAAACCCAAUGUGAACGUUACCAAACUGUUGCCUCGGCGGGGUCACGCCCCGGGUGCGUCGCAGCCCCGGAACCAGGCGCCCGCCGGAGGAACCAACCAAACUCUUUCUGUAGUCCCCUCGCGGACGUAUUUCUUUACAGCUCUGAGCAAAAAUUCAAAAUGAAUCAAAACUUUCAACAACGGAUCUCUUGGUUCUGGCAUCGAUGAAGAACGCAGCGAAAUGCGAUAAGUAAUGUGAAUUGCAGAAUUCAGUGAAUCAUCGAAUCUUUGAACGCACAUUGCGCCCGCCAGUAUUCUGGCGGGCAUGCCUGUCCGAGCGUCAUUUCAACCCUCGAACCCCUCCGGGGGAUCGGCGUUGGGGAUCGGGACCCCUCACACGGGUGCCGGCCCCUAAAUACAGUGGCGGUCUCGCCGCAGCCUCUCCUGCGCAGUAGUUUGCACAACUCGCACCGGGAGCGCGGCGCGUCCACGUCCGUAAAACACCCAACUUUCUGAAAUGUUGACCUCGGAUCAGGUAGGAAUACCCGCUGAACUUAAGCAUAUCAAG
rnacentral:rRNA from 1 species